CACACCUUCACGCCGACCAGUCAGUCAGUCAUUCAGGCAACACUCAUUCUGUCAGUCAGUGUUGGUGGUGGUGGUGGUAGUGGUUGUGGUGGAUAAGGUUGUGGUGGUGGUUGUGGUGGUCUGACUCACGCACUCACUCGCUCUCUCUCUCUCUAGUCGUUAUAUAAGGGCACCCCAGCGCCCUGCACAGCCCACAGGAGCCUGCCUUGAGCCUGCACAGCCUACCCCCAGCCUACACAAGAUGGCGAUGAUGGAAUACCUUCUCAGCCCUCGCGGCAUCAUCAAACUUAGUCAACUGCUCCUCAUCAUCAUCACCCUGGGCACGUGGUUUGGCCUGGGCGAUGACUGGCGGGACUUCAUCACCGGCACCAUCUUCACCGCCCUCUUCUCCGCGCUGGCCAUCUUCACGCAGAACAUGAUUGCCGACCACGCCCGAGUUGUGGAAAUCCUUAUGGGCGGUGUGCUGUGCCUGUUCCUGUCCAUCAGCGGCAUUAUCGUGUUGGUCAAGGUGUCGGGCGAUCCAGUGGCGGCAACUUGCGGCUCCUUCUGCUUCUUCACCGCUGUGGCCUACGGGGUGGACGUCUUCUUCGCCUUUAAGCUUGAGGGCGCAGAGUAAAGGAAGGCAUGGCUGAGGAGGAGGUGCAGGAGAGGGAGAGGCAUGGUAUUGAUGGGGGUUAAGGAGGAGGAGGAAAGAGAGGAAAGUUAGGGAAAGGGAUGGUUGAAAAGGGGUUGAGGAAAAGGUGCAGGAGAGUAAAGGAAGAGAUGGUAUGGAUGGGGGUUGAGGAGGAGGAGGAAAGUAAGGGAAAGAGAUGGUUGAAAAGGGCUUGAAGAAGAGGUGCAGGAGAGGGAGAGAGAUGGUAUUGAUGGGGGUUGAGGAGGAGGAGGAAAGUAAGGGAAAGAGAUGGUUGAAAAGGGCUUGAAGAAGAGGUGCAGGAGAGGGAGAGAGAUGGUAUUGAUGGUGGUUGCGGAGGAGGAAAGAGAGGAAAGUUAGGGAAGGGAUGGUUGAAAAGGGGUUUGAGGAAGAGGUGUGAAGGAAGGAGAGAGGGGAAGAAGGUGGUGAAAUGAAGAGAGGAGGAGAAGAGAAGAGAAAGGUAGCGAGAGAGAGGAGUUGUAGGGAUAAAAAGGAGGGAUAGAUAAAGAGUAAAGUGGAAUAAAGUAGAAGGAUAGAAAGAAAGAGAGAAAGAGGAUGAAAGAAGACUAAACAGAGGAAUCGUUAAAAUGAAAACAAUUGUAAUACGGAUAAAUGUAGAUAAUGAA